rnacentral:rRNA from 1 species
UACGGGGGGGGCAAGCGUUGUUCGGAAUUACUGGGCGUAAAGGGCUCGUAGGUGGCCAACUAAGUCAGACGUGAAAUCCCUCGGCUUAACCGGGGAACUGCGUCUGAUACUGGAUGGCUUGAGUAUGGGAGAGGAUGAGGGAAUUCCUGGUGUAGCGGUGAAAUGCGUAGAUAUCAGGAGGAACACCGGUGGCGAAAGCGCUCAUCUGGCCCAAUACUGACGCUGAAGCACGAAAGCUAGGGGAGCAAACGGG